rnacentral:rRNA from 1 species
GACGAACGCUGGCGGCGUGCCUAAUACAUGCAAGUCGAACGCAGUGGGGACGGGUGAGUAACACGUGGGUAACCUCCCAUCAGAGGGGAUAACACUUGGAUACAGGUGCUAAACCGAUACUGAUGGAUGGACUCGCGGUGCAUUAGCUAGUUGGUGAGGUAACGGCCCACCAAGGCCACGAUACAUAGCAGGUCUGAGAGGGUGAUCGGCCACACUGGGACUAAGACACGGCCCAGACUCCUACGGGAGGCAGCAGUAGGGAAUCUUCGACAAUGGGCGAAAGUCUGACCGAGCAACGCCGCGUGAGUGAAGAAGGUUUUAGGGUCGUAAAACACUGUUGUUGGGGAAGCGGUAUCUAACGAGAAAGCCACGGCUAACUACGUGCCAGCAGCCGCGGUAAUAC